UUCUACAUGGCAUCUCUUCUUUGGAGCUUGCUAUAAACUAUACAGUGUCUUUCCCACCACAGAUAGUUUUAGGACUAUAGGAUUGGCCAGGCUGAACGGAUGAGGGGCAGAACUGUUUACAUCAUAGCCUAGAGCCUGCUGCAGUUUCUCUUCAUUAAAAGGAAUGUAGCAGUAUUCUCAAAUAUGGUAUGUAAAGCCGGGUUUUCUUCACAUACUUCAAUCAAGGAACAUAUGAUAACAGACUGACUUCUGAUGACACCCAGUGUUAACAGCUCCACUAAAGGUCACUGGGCUAAGUGGUCCCUUGGAUGAUCUCUUCUGCUCCCGUACGCCCGCUCCUGAAUCAAACUUCUGUUGAGGCUCUAAGGAUUCUCUGCUCCUUAUGCUAAGUUGGAAAAGAAGACGGGAGAUUUUUUUGGAGAAGAGAAACAAAGCAAAGUCGACUUGAAACUGGCUGAAGGCCAAUAGGGAUAGCUUUACAGUUUUUGAUCUACCAGUAGCAAAAGAAGGGUGGCAUUUUCCCACCAUCCCCAACUGUAAACAUAUAAAGGACAGUAUCUUUGUGUGCAUCUGAGUUAGGAUGUAAAAAAUUGAGUUCUGCCAUAUUUCCAUGGCAUUUGAUUCCCUCUACCUCCUUUUACUAUGUACUGUUCUCUGUAUUAGUUCCAAAUAUAUCCUUCACUUCAAAUGGGAAAGGAUUUCUAUUUCACAACUGUGAAUUACUGAAACUGGAAAGAUGAAUCCAUAAAAAUAGGAACACUGAACUUGAAUCAGAUUCAUCAUGAAAUUGGAAGUUGUCCCCAUUUCAAAAAGAACCUCAGCAUCUUUCUUGUGACUGACAUGCCUAAUUCAUAGCCAUAUUAUUAUUUCCAUUGUCUCUGCUAAAAUUAAAAAAUUUUUUCUUGGGGCACAUGGGUGGCUCAGUCAGUUGAGUAUUCGACUUCUGCCCGGUUCACAAGUUCAAGCCC